GUUUGUUUACUUUACUUUGGAUAGAGCCGAAAAAAGUUUGUGAAUAAUGUUAAUGUUCGUUGAUAAAUUGCAAUACAUCAUGGUUGUUUGACUCGAUUGCCACAUUCUGUUGAAACCAAACCUACAAAUGAAUACAAUGCAUGAAUGUGGAGCUUAGCUCUGAACUGGUGUCUUUAAUAGAUAAAAAUGGCAUGGACAUGAUACGGUGUCAGAUGCUGAUCGACUUUGUCAUAAUUAACUCAUACUAAGCAACAACAACAAUAACAACUGCUGAAGAAUGUUCCAGUCUGAGAGUUGGACACAAUUGUAUCUGUAUAAGUUGUGAAAUAUCUUUGGGAAGGCACUCAGGAAGACAAAAUUACAGGCCAGAGACUUAUGGAAAGAAUUGAAAGUGAUAUUAUAUGUAUAGAAAAAGAAAUGUCUCCGAGACAGGUAAUAAAGUUAUUUUGUGUGAGAGCCGUUUAAAUAGUUUUAUGUAUUUAAAACACAUAAUAACGGGUUCUUACCAUGUUUAAAGCAGGGAUAUGAAACUCCCGAUAUUUCGACACUGUGAAUCAGUCAUCCCGUGAUCAUGGCACUUGCAACAGUGUCGAAAUAUCAGGAGUCUCAUAUCCCUGCUUAAAAUGUGGUAAAAACCUGUUAUUAUGUAUUUUAAUUAUGAUAAUAACCAUGUAAACUUAAAACAGUUUUAUGUAUUACCUAUUUCAAUCAUAAUUGUUAUAAGGAAAUAAUUAUGAUUGAAACAUUGUUCUAAUUUCAAUUUAAUGUUAUCCCUACACGUUAAAUAAUAUUGUGCUUUUCAUUAUUGUAGGUAUAAGGUGUGCCUAAUUUGUAUUUAUUGGUUCCAUAUGGACGUCAAAACUACAAUUAUGUUUUAAGAAUAGUCAUAUUUCCUUUCAAAUUUCUGUUGGAUGCUUGUGCAUGUCUUGUUUGCAGGAUGAACUCACCUCAAAAGCAUUAAUCUUUCGAAUGCCGGAACGCGGAUCUCGACCAGACACAAUGUAAAAUCUAUUGUGUCUGGUAUCUCGGCAUAUGAGAGGUUAAUAU